rnacentral:tRNA from 1 species
GUCAAGGAUAGCCUAGUUGACAUGGCUUUUGCCCAGUAAGCGAAACACUGUGGGUUCGAUUCCCAUCUCUGGACA